UUAUUUUUAUUCACCCUUGUCUUUUGCGCACUUGUUGUUUCCUGGGCGGGUUCGCUCGCCACCAGGACCACAUCAUAAACCUUUUUUGUUAAUGCAAUCAGCGUCAGUAUAACAAAUGUAAAUCAUUUACAACUUUCAACAACGGAUCUCUUGGUUCUGGCAUCGAUGAAGAACGCAGCGAAAUGCGAUACGUAGUGUGAAUUGCAGAAUUCAGUGAAUCAUCGAAUCUUUGAACGCACAUUGCGCCCUUUGGUAUUCCAAAGGGCAUGCCUGUUCGAGCGUCAUUUGUACCCUCAAGCUUUGCUUGGUGUUGGGCGUUGUUUGUCUUUGGUCCGCCCAAAGACUCGCCUUAAAACAAUUGGCAGCCGGCCUACUGGUUUCGCAGCGCAGCACAUUUUUGCGCUUGCAAUCAGCAAAAGAGGUUGGUCAUCCAUCAAGACUACAUUUAUACGUUUGACCUCGGAUCAGGUAGGGAUACCCGCUGAACUUAAGCAUAUCAAUAA
rnacentral:rRNA from 1 species